UCCUUGGCUUUCAGCUUGUCGUCGGCGAUGGCGCCUAUGCGGUCGAGCGCCGGCAGCACCUGAUCCCUGGCCCCGGCGACGGUCUCGUCAAGCAUCCUGAUGCACCCUUCCAGUUUGCCGGCCUCGCCGAACGAGCGCAGGUCCUUGGCGAGGUCCGUGAGCUUGGACACCAUGACGGUGGUGAUGGCGAGGGAGGCCCUGUUGUAGCUGCUGUUGAUGGACGCGGCGUACGGGAGCAGGAGCUCGUAGCACGCCCUGGCGGCAUCCGGCCUCCUGAUGCAGGUCUCGUUGCAGCCGGCGCGGAUGAAAUCCUUCGCCUCGGCGGAGGCGGGCAGGUUCUCCACCAGCAGUGGCUUGUUUGCGCCGGCGGCCGCGCACGUCGAUGCCGCGGCGGCGAAGGCUGUUAAUACCACCGCCGCAAGCACACGCAUCUUUGGCGGGAGAGCAGACAUGUUUGUUAACUAAUUUAAUUUGACGCUUCUCUCUAGCUUGUGUCUCGGCCUAUAUAUACACUGCUGAUACACACACAACUGAUGCAUGCAUGGAUGGUGUCCCUAUUUUAGGCUCAGCCCCACCACUACCGGCCACUAUUUUAGGCUCAUGCGCCUGUGCGGGCUCUUGACAAGUGUGUGGCCGUGGAACCGGGCCCGUGUUCUCGGACAGGGACGGACGAAGGAGAGGGAGCCGAACGGCGUUGCGCGGCCGAAGAGGCAGGGAUGGGCAGGGAGGGUGGCCGCGGCCACCGGAGAGCGGGAGAGGUAGGGACGGGCGGAGGAGGAGGCUCGGGCGAGAGGCAGGGGUGGCCGGAGUGCUGGAUGGGUGGGGAGGAAGCCGCGGACUGGGACGAUUCGCUCGUAAACGGAGUGGAUUCCGGGACCCAUGUGUUAAUGGCCUAAAUCACAAUAAAUCAAUGACUAGAUCCACCUGUCAAUGAGAUUAGGUUGGACAAAAAAAGAGUGGGUAGAAGUGUUUCUCACUUUAAUAAUAAGUAAGAUUGUAAUAUAUAUAAUCCUAAAAUGUAUGGAAGUGAUUCCGUAUACGAAUCUAAUGAUAUGAAAUUGGUUUGGUAUCAUGAUAACUUCUAAAUUCUUAGAUCAAGUAUGGGCCAAAGAUUAAUAUAUUUAAAUUAAUCUUGGGUUGCGCGCUCGUUACAAUUUCUUUUAACAUGGAGAGGACACAGCAUAAAGAAUUGACCGACGAAGGUAGGUUGUCCAAGGAUAAAGAUGACGACGCAAUAGGUUGUGCAAGAAUUGACCGAUGAAGCUAGGUUGCGUGCCCUUUACAAGCUUCAAAAGUCGGUAAAACAUUGGAUAACGUUCGUGUUUUCUAAUCUUUACCAUUCUAACUUUUUAAAGGACCGUUGUGGAGGUAUGCCUGCAACAGCUAAAUGAUCAUGGAUACUUUUUGCCACACUACUUAUAUUUAAAAUAAAUGCGCUUGAGGAGGGAAGCAGUAGUGUGAUUAUGAUUGCUGAAAGGCUAUGUCAUCUGAAUCAACAUGACAUGGUAUGGAUCUAAUCAUCCUUUUAUCUUUAAUUAGGUUACAUCUUUUAAAUUUCAUAAUGUUAUUCUCUUCUUUUAGGAUAUCUAUAAUCAAACCUUUGCAGCAAUAAGCUUUCAAGCGAUUCUGGAACAAGUCGUGGAAAGGUUGGGAUGUAGUUACAGCGUUGGAUACCCGACACGCACUAGAUAUUUCACACUCUAGGCUAAGCUCUCUUUGUACAAGGCAUCUCAAACGACGGACACACUAUUGUUUGAGAUUUAUGGUUGUCCAAAUUAGUGUCAUUUUGAAGCACUAGAGAGUGCACUAGUUCAUGCUCUAAUUUAUAUUGACGACGUUAUAGACUUUAAAUUGUAGAUAUGAAUUAUGCUCCAUAUCUAAGUAAGCUAUCCAGCCUAAGCCCAUGGUAUGCAUGGACGUAACAUUUGCCGUAUGUAUUUGAACUUCUCUCUAAAACAAGUAAUGUUGUAUGAACUCAAGUACUUACUUUUCUUAUAUAUUUGAAUUAUUAAUAGAAGUGGUUCUCUCUAAGAUCUCAAAUGUAAUAUUAUAGAUAUAUAUUAGUGUACCAAUGUAGAACAAAGAAACAGAAAUACGUAAAGGAAACAAAUAUGAAUAUAGAAUAAGGGAAUAGAAAUAAGGAAACAGAAAAAAAAAUUAGUACCGGUUGGGCAUACCAACCGUUAUUUGAACCGGUACUAAAGGGUCCCCCUCUAGUACCGAUUGGUCAUUACCGGUUGCACAACCGGGGGUUAUGAACCGGUACUGGACGCUAUUUUUCCAGUAGUGUAAAGUGGUGGAAUGCACGUGAAAAAUAUGCAUGAACAAGUUGGAGUGUACAUAUAUAGCUAUAUAAAAAUUGUGCGAGUGCUGUUCACAUGCUAAAUAUGCAUAAACAAGCAGUAGUGUACAUAUAUAGCUAUAUAAAAAUUCAAUGAUCAAAUCAAACGUGUGCAAACCUUCCGCGGUUGAAAAUAUUUUUCCCCGCAAAACUCUUUCACCAACCGGUACUAAAUGUAGCCUUUAGUACCAACCCAGUACAAAUACUUAACAAAAUAAGAAUACCAGUACGAGACACCCAUCGUGUGCAAUCAACAUGUAAACUGACAGCCCUACUCUACGUUCCUACUGCUGAUGACACUACCAACAUCAUCACUUUCUUUAGCACCUCAAAGGAACAUGGCGAAACGACCUAGCCUAAUUGAAUUCUGUACCACUACCAUAAUCUGCGAAACUCCGGAGCGCCGGAAACACUCGGGACUGUAAAAAAUGCUCGAGAAACAAAUAAUAGGAUACUGAAAUAAACAAUAAUUUAUUUCUUCAAAUGAUAAAUAAAUUACAAGUUGCAGAGUACAAAUAUAGCUCAGAAAAUUAAAUGAUCAACGCAAAUGCAUGGAUGCAUACAUAUAGCUUUAUUACUGAAUAAGGAACCUUAAUUAUUGAAUAGAAUUACCAUGAAUAUAAUAAAUAAUAUAAAUAGUGUACGUGAAGCUAGAGAGAUGACUGAUUUGGAUAGGCACCGACGCAGGUAAUGCAAAACGUCCUAGGGGUUUUUUCCAUCUGGAGAUCGAGGAGUCCAGUUGGGCCUGGGCCUAAAGAAAAUAGCAGCGGUGGCAUAUUCAUGUCUAAUAUUGGAUCUCCUUGUUUGUCGUAUGUAUUAAGGAUUAGUUUUACUUCUAAUAGCUUACUGCGGAUGCUUUCUUGUUUGUGUAAUAUGCUGCGUAAUCAUGUUGAGCCUGAGGCUUGUAAGAAUUCCUCUUAUUUGAUUAUUGCAUGGAUUAGUGUCACGAAGGAUAUGACCCCUGUGUACAAUCAAGAUAAUUGACUUUUUUUUCCCUCAAAUAUAUGCUUACAAGCCCAUUAGGUGGUGUAAACGUUAGAAUGCAUUAGCCUGGUAAAGAUAAGUUACGCAUUUUUAAUAAAUUUUUGGAUUGGUUGAUAUCAUCCUUAACACCUGCAUUUAAACAAUUUGUCUCUUUUGAUCCUGACUAUUACUAAUUAGAGGAUCGUGUCGUUUCGCUGUUGCUAAUUACUAAUUAGUGGUACUGCGAAAAGCGUGUUGCUCUGAUGCUUAUGGCCCAUUUCGUUCAAUGAAUUAUUAUCUCAUCUUUGAUGGAAUUAACACUAGAACAAAAAUAUGAUUCUGUCCUCAACAACUGGUUACGUUAAAUUCAUUGCUGUGAUUAUUUGAUUAUAAGAUGCAGCAAAGAAAACAUGUCAUUGAUCUCUACAACUUAUCAGCUGUGGCACCAAUUGAUCUGUCGUGGUACAAGCCAUGGCGUAAUUGUCUAGGAUUAGCCUGCACCAAUCCUCAAAUCAACCAUGUGCUAGAAUCUUAGAGGCUAUUGAAGCUUGCUGUAUGACACUCUGCAAUCAUGAUAAUUGCUAUAGGACACUGAAGUGGAUUACAUUUUCUGCACGAGCAUGUUUCUUUUUUUAAAAAAAUAACUGUGUCCUAGCAUGUGUUUGAUGUAAAUGCAAACACUUUCUAAAAUAAAGCAAUUAUUUUCUGUUACAUACUUUGAAGUGUUAGAUGUGGAAAGUGCUCCAUCUUCCUAAAGCGUUGCUAUCUCAUUUACCAAGCCUUUCAAUUAUCUUUGCUCAUUGGUUACUAAGACUAAAGAUGGGUACAAAGUCAAUGAAGCAUGCACAUGUAUAAACACCAAAUAUAAGUUGUACCAUAAUAACUAGCACAUAAUUUGUUGCUUGUGAGGCAAUUACGUGCUGUCCAGUCAACAUUUGUUGGUACAUGGAUCUUUAAGAAAUUGUCUUUAAGUUUAUCAGCUAGGAAAUUCAGUUUACUUUUUCUACACUUGGAAAUAAUAACUAGUAAAUGACUCCAAUUUCAAGCACCUUGACAAUCUUGAUUCUUAUUUCAGAGAACCAGAAAUGAGAUCUGCUGCAUCAGACUUAUUACAUGUAUUGGAAAUUAGACUUAUUGCAGGUAUUGGAAAUUAGAUUUUCUGAAAUUAGACUCAGUAGCUAUAAUUGCACAUUGUUAUACUUUGAAAAGAGUAACACCUUUAAACAUUUUUGAAGCACCCAUUGGUCACAGGAGGUAUGGAGGAUUUUUGUCAGAUUACUCAUGCUGCGCCCAAGGUGAUAGUCCUAAACCAAAUUGAGUAAUAUGGGAUACAUAUGAAAUUCAUGUACUGCUCUAGCUGAAAUGAUUCCAUAGAAUGAUAGUGUUUGCUAAUGCUCAGUGUAUUUACAUCUUUCCUUUUGUCUUUUUCAGGACAAGCCUCAGCCGCCACCUGAGGGCCGCCUUCGUGAUGCUACUAAGGGUAGGUCUCUAAUCUUUAAUACUAUUGCCAUGAAUGUUGAACUGUGGAUUGCAGCUUCGCUGAUGCGUAAAAUGCACGGGCAUGGAUGCCGGGUACACGACGAGCUCACCAAGGACCAGGAUUUGCUCCGCGCGGUCGUGGGGCAGUGAGCAACGCCUUUGGGGCGAUGGAUGAGCAGGUUCUCCCGCGUGGACAGGUAACCCGCCCUUGCAUGGUGUGCCAGUUCACUCAUCCACAUCACUAGCUGUGACCAAUUGUGCAAGUGCCGUUCACGUGCUAAAUAUGCAUAAACAAGCAUAUAUAAAAAUUAAAUGAUCGCACUACCAACAUCAUCACUUCCUUCGGACCCUCAAAGGAACACGGCAAAAGAAACUAGUCCAUAGUCUGCGAAGCUCCCCGAGUGACGGAAACACUCGGGGCUAUAAAAAAAAUGCUCGGGAAACAAAUAAUAGGAUGCUGAAAUAAACAAUAAUUUAUUUCUUCAAAUGAUAAAUAAAUUACAAGUUGCAGAGUAGCUCAGAAAAUUAAAUGAUCAACUCAAAUGCAUGGAUGCAUACAUAUAUAUAGCUUUAUUACUGAAUAAGGAACCUUAAUUAUUGAAUAGAAUUACCAUGAAUAUAAUGAAUAAUAUAAAUAGUGUACGUGAAGAGAUAGGACUGAUUUGGAUAGGCACCGACGCAGGUAAUGCAAAACGUCCUAUGGGUUUUCUCCGUCUGGAGAUUGAGGAGCCCACUUGAGCCUGGGCCUGAAGAUAAUAGCAGCGGCGGCAUAUUCGGAGUGGUCCGCCACGAUGGAGCUGGGGACCCGAUCCAUGAUGCGCUUGAGGCCACCAUCCCAGCACUUGACGAAGUUGUUGUCGACGCCAACGAACCAGCUCCAGACGAGGAGAAAGCCCGGGUCCUUGGCUUUCAGCUUGUCGUCGGCGAUGGUGCCUAUGCGGUCGAGCGCCGGCAGCACCUGAUCCCUGGCCCCGGCGACGGUCUCGUCAAGCAUUCUGAUGCACCCUUCCAGUUUGCCGGCCUCGCCGAACGAGCGCAGGUCCUUGGCGAGGUCCGUGAGCUUGGACACCAUGACGGUGGUGAUGGCGAGGGAGGCCCUGUUGUAGCUGCUGUUGAUGGACGCGGCGUACGGGAGCAGGAGCUCGUAGCACGCCCUGGCGGCAUCCGGCCUCCUGAUGCAGGUCUCGUUGCAGCCGGCGCGGAUGAAAUCCUUCGCCUCGGCGGAGGCGGGCAGGUUCUCCACCAGCAGUGGCUUGUUUGCGCCGGCGGCCGCGCACGUCGAUGCCGCGGCGGCGAAGGCUGUUAAUACCACCGCCGCAAGCACACGCAUCUUUGGCGGGAGAGCAGACAUGUUUGUUAACUAAUUUAAUU
rnacentral:lncRNA from 1 species